UAAUAGCCCAGUGGGUAGAACAUGAAACUCUUAAUCUCAGGCUUGUGGGCUCAAGCCCCACGUUGGGCAAAA